CUAGACGAGACUGCCGGUGACAAACCGGAGGAAGGUGGGGAUGACGUCAAGUCAUCAUGGCCCUUACGGCCUGGGCUACACACGUGCUACAAUGGUCGGUACAAAGGGUUGCCAAGCCGCGAGGUGGAGCUAAUCCCAUAAAACCGAUCGUAGUCCGGAUCGCAGUCUGCAACUCGACUGCGUGAAGUCGGAAUCGCUAGUAAUCGUGAAUCAGAAUGUCACGGUGAAUACGUUCCCGGGCCUU
rnacentral:rRNA from 1 species